GCUGGUUAUGGCAUUUAUUUAUUGCUACACAGCAGCUGCACAUCAGCGGCUGCAAAAUGAGACGACUUGUCUUUUUCAAAAUAAAAAUAUAUUCUUGGCUAGUAGUAUAUAGCCUAGCUCUGCUAGUGGGGCGGAUCCAUUUGGGUUUUUCGGGUCAGGUACUGAGAUGGAUCUUAUUGGUAUGGGUGCCAUUUGGGUUUUUCGGGUCAGGUACUGAGAUGGAUCUUAUUGGUAUGGGUGGAAACGAGUUUUAAGUUAACAACUGUCGGGUUGGUGCGGAUUGGGUCUGGUGCAUCAAGUGCGGUGCGGGUUGGGCGGUGGGUGACUCGCGAGUCGAGUCCUCGCAGCGAGACUCCGCCCACGUCCGCUGUCUUCCACAGUCCCGCCGCCGCCGACUGCCCUCCUCGCCGGCCACCCUCCCCGUCGCACCGGUCACCCGCCCCUCUCCCCUUAAAGCCAUCCUGGCCCCCUUUGUCCCAAACCCUAGCCCCCACACCUCUAUUGCCACCGCCACCAUCACCUUCCCCCAAAUCCGGCCGCCGUCGAUUCUCCUCCUCCGGGCCCCCGGCGGAGCUCGCCGUCCGCUGCCGCCUCAGCUCGUCGCGUCGCCACUUCGCCGCCGUUUUCCUCUGCUAAAGCCUCGGGUGAGCUUCGCUUCACCUUGGACCCAGGGGCGGACCUACGGGGUGGUCCACGUAUGCCAUGACAUACCCUAAGAUCCGGCCCACCCACGCUCCCGUGUGAUUUCGGCGGCGACGCAAUGAGUUGAACUGCGGCGGACUGAUUUGAGCGGCAGCCCGCGUCGGCUCGGCGCAAUGAAUCGGGCAGCAGCGCGGCGAAUCCAGCAACACUGCGGGUGCUUAGAGAGUCAGCGGUGCAGCGGAAGCACCACAGGGCUCAGCCGGUGGCGGUUCGGCGGAGUCUGCAACAGCGCGGCACCGCGUGGAGCCCGCUCCGGCGGCAAGUAGCAGCGCGGCAGGCGCGCGGAGCACGCGCUGGCAGCAGGCAUGCCAGCGGCGUAGUGCGCUGAGCAGCAAGCUAGCGGAGCAGCGUGCUGGUUUGGUGGGUGCGCGGAGCUCGCGGCAGCCAUCCCAUCAGCUCCGCGCUAGCGUUCAGGAAGGAAGAGGAUCGAUGGGAGGAAGAAUAGAGGUUCAUGACAAAUGCCCCCCACAAACUGAGGUGCAUGCCAAUAAAUUAGUAAAGCAUUAGAUCAGUAAAUGAUAAUUGAUGUCACAUAUAGAUUAAUAGAUGCAACAAUUGAGGGAUUCAAGUGGAUUAAGAUGAUAUAAUUAAUAUUUUCAUGAACUUUAGGAAGCAUAUGCUUGAUAAAAAGAAAUAAGGUAAAUCUCUCUAACCUAUUGUAGGUGUGUAAGUUUAUUUUAUAUACAUUUCUAAGAUUUAAUGUGCUUCUACUAUUUAUAUUGUAAUCUAUACAAUUAUUGAAUCUAAUUGUUUUUAUAUCGAAUUUCUCGUGGAA